CCCCUUUCAGGAUCACACCUGGAGAGUUUCCUGUACGCUACCAGUCUCAGCUGUGGGAGGGAAAGUCAAGCAGAGGCAUACCCAUUCCAAUCCUAGCUUGGGCAGUGGCUAGCAAGUGGAAGAUAAUCUGCUACAAGU